rnacentral:lncRNA from 1 species
AUACAUUGAAUUAUGACAUUAGUUUCUUUUUCGGCGAGUUCUUCUAUGUUGAAGAAAUUCACGAAAAGCAGCAAGUUUCUAUAUAAUGAUAGGCCUGCAUAUUCAUGUCGUCCUUGAAGAGAACGCAAUGGUUGAUGUCUACUAUGUGUGAUGCAACAUUGUAGAAGACACGAAGGGCAAGUUCUGAAUCUUCUUAGAGAAUCUAGAACUGAACGAGCCCACCAACAAGAAGUACCUCUUCUACAUGUUAGGUUUGAACCAUAUUUUCUCUUUCUUGAGACUUUAUGUUUGGUUUUUUUAUUUGGAUUUGAUUUUGUUGUUAGAGUCAGACUUUGGAGAUUGUAGUUUGGAGGUGUUCAGAACUGCUGAGAUAUUUGUGAUCUUUUUCAAGUAUCAACAGGUAAUAGAGUUUUGAUAUGUAUUCAAUAAUAAUAAUAAUUACCAUAUACACAUUUGAAUAAACAUUGAGUUCAUUAAGCACAAUGCUUGCUAUUCAAUGUGAUAUAGGUGGAUUGUGAUGAGUGCAAGAGAUUGUGCAGCAAAGGAGUCUCUGGUCAAGGUCAAGGGGGAAAGCAUCUUGAAAAAAGAAGGAAUACAUGAACCUAACGGUACAACUACUGCUAUAAAAAAUAAAGUAAAAUGGAAGAGGUUUAUCAUAUCACCCUUGAAAACUGUAGGUGUUUUGAAUUUUGGAGUGUUAUCCUCUCUUAGUUUGUGCUUAUCUAUGGUGUUAUACUGGUAUUUAUCUAUAUAUUACUAGCAUGGAUGGAGUGAUAUAGACUCAAUGACUUUUAAGAUGACCUGAAUUAUAGCCUUUGCAUUGGUAUCUAUAAAUGAAGUUUCUCUAAAGUCUAAAGUUGUAUGCUUGAAUGUCGGUCUAUGCAUCUUAUUUCUUGAUAUCUCUUUUAGUUAGCUUUCUGCAAUACCUCCAUCAAGCUUUAUGGCUUCAAGUGUUAGCUGAUCUGAAUGCCUCUUUAAAAGACGGUAUUCAUUCUUGCUCUUCAAUGAGCAAUGAAAAGAUUGUUGUCUCUUUCCUUCUUUUUGUAUCAUAAGUUGCUAGAUUGUAUAAUUUAUCACAAAUGGGCCGCUUUACAUUGUGCAAGGUUCCGCUAGCAAGAUAUCAAUGCAGAAAAUAUCAAGCAUUGUGGCUCCCUAGCGGGUGAAUAUUGUAAGAAGAUUGUACUUCUGCUAGGUACCAUUAUGUAUAAUGGCUAGAAUGAUAGGAUUGUUCGUUGACUUAUGAAUUAGGUGGCAUGAUUCUUAAGGUGAAAAUAUGUGUGUUAGUUUAUAACAUUGUAGUUUAUUAUGGUGGUAUGUGAAAUUCAAUGCCCCUGCAAUACUUUAAAAUGAAAUUGCAUUUGACAUUUUCCUACAUUUGACUCCAUAUAAUGUUAAACCUAUUAAGUGCGUUGCAUUAAACUGCUUCUUGAGAGAUAAAAAAGAGAAGGUGAAUCAGGUCAAGGGUGUAUUAUGGUUUUUUAAGUGAUUCUUGAAACCCAGUUCUUCUAUAUUGUAUCCUUAUUUGGAGUAUGGUUUAUUUCUGUUUGUUGUCAACUAAGCAUGUAAAUCUAAGAGCUCAGGUCUGUCAUGCCUAAUGAAGUUUUGAACUUUAUGCAGUUUUCAAUUUUUGUCUGAAUGGAAGAAAGAGGAGCUCAAUUUUGUGAUCUUCAUUGCACCAAAUUUUGCUGGCUAUCUACAGUGGCGAACUUUAUUUCGGUCUUUUCCUUGCCAUGAUGAUAGUAGUGUAAAACAAAUAUUUUUAUGGGUCGAAUAUUUAUUUGUACAAGUGUACAUUAGAGCAGGGUUUUUAGAAUGCUCUUGGAUGCUUUGAUAUAAGGCCGAUAACUUCAUGUACUAUUUUUUCCAAUGACUUAUAAUGCAUUCCUAGAGUUUUAUUGUAAUUGAUUUAAUAUAUUAGUUGAUGGUCAUACCUACGGAGAUGGUGUAAGGGAUGUGUUCCCAUAGGUGUGUUUAUCGUUUGGAAUGUUGUACUUAUUGUACUUACACGAACUGCUCAAACAUUUAUGGUGCACUCAAAAACAUUUACUGCAUUAUUUGUCUCUGAUAUGAUCUUCCUUAUCA